rnacentral:rRNA from 1 species
GACGAACGCUGGCGGCGUGCUUAACACAUGCAAGUCGAACGGAAAGGCCCUGCUUGCAGGGUACUCGAGUGGCGAACGGGUGAGUAACACGUGGGUGAUCUGCCCUGCACUUCGGGAUAAGCUUGGGAAACUGGGUCUAAUACCGGAUAGGAACCAUCUUUAGUGUGGUGGUUGGAAAGUUUUUUCGGUGUAGGAUGAGCUCGCGGCCUAUCAGCUUGUUGGUGGGGUAAUGGCCUACCAAGGCGGCGACGGGUAGCCGGCCUGAGAGGGUGUACGGCCACAUUGGGACUGAGGUACGGCCCAGACUCCUACGGGAGGCAGCAGUGGGGAAUAUUGCACAAUGGGCGCAAGCCUGAUGCAGCGACGCCGCGUGGGGGAUGAAGGCCUUCGGGUUGUAAACUCCUUUCGCUAGGGACGAAGCUUUGUUGUGACGGUACCUAGAUAAGAAGCACCGGCUAACUACGUG